AUGGGGGUUCAACCUUAGGUUUUGGUCCAAGAACGUGAUUGUUCACGGGAAUAACUGAUUAUCUCGGAUGAUAAUCAAUUAUCCCUUCAUGCGUGAUGAAUUAUGGUGAUUUGUUGUGUGAAACCACUGAGAUAAUCGAUUAUCUUAAGUGAUAAUCGAUUAUAACAGGGUAUUUUGUGUACAUGUGUAUGUUUCGGGAAUAAUCGAUUAUCACCUAUGAUAAUCGAUUAUCCUAGAGUAUUUUAACUAAAAACAAUGUGUUUUGAUGAAGAACAAACGUGGGCCAAGCUUGAGGAGCUGUAGAAUGUGAUGAUAAUCACAAAAUGAGAUUAAUAGUUGUGUUUAAGGUCAGUUUUGAAUUGUGGUUGAGAUUAGAGCAUGAGUGAGUGUUGGGGUGUACUUGAAUAUGUGAUUGAUGAGCAUGAGAGUGGUAGAUAGAUGUACUAGUUGUACCUAGUAAAUCCUGGUUCUAUCGAAGGAUGAGUGCUCCCUUUUACAUUGAUUGUUGAAAAGGGAGAGAUAUUCCAUUUGGCAUAGGUUGUUGAAAAGGGGGUGACUCUCUUCGGCAUUGGUUGUUGAAAAGAGAAUGGUGUUUUCUUUGGAAAAUAGUUGUAGAAAGGAGAAUGGUAAUCAAGUGUUGAAUCUUCUUCGGUGGGGGGAUAUAUGUUCCACCUUAUGUGGUAAGGGAACAUGUCCAAAGCCAAAAAAAGGAUGACUUGAGUAUAUCUAUAGGGGAAGCUACAAAUGGGUCUAUAAGAGCGACUAUAGGUGGGUGAGGUAAAGUACAGGGCGGAGACUAACUCUUUCCACUAUGAUGUUCUUGGUACGAUGAUGCUCAUGGUGUUGUUCAUGAUUGGGAUGGUUAUGAUGGUGGUGUGUCUAUGAUGAUAGUCAUGGUAUUGAAGAUGCUCCAAGUUGUGCUAUAUUUAUAAUUGUGUUACUAUAAUGGUUAUAGUCAGUAGUUAGAGUAGGUGCUAAUGAGUAAUGUGUUAGAUGUUAGUGAUGACAUCAAGG
rnacentral:lncRNA from 1 species